AACGAACGCUGGCGGCAUGCCUAACACAUGCCAGUCGAACGAUGCUUUCGGGCAUAGUGGCGCACGGGUGCGUAACGCGUGGGAAUCUGCCCUGGGGUUCGGGAUAACAGCGGGAAACUGCUGCUAAUACCGGAUGAUAUCGCGAGAUCAAAGAUUUAUCGCCCUGGGAUGAGCCCGCGUCGGAUUAGGUGGUUGGUGGGGUAAGAGCCUACCAAGCCGACGAUCCGUAGCUGGUCUGAGAGGAUGAUCAGCCACACUGGGACUGAGACACGGCCCAGACUCCUACGGGAGGCAGCAGUGGGGAAUAUUGGACAAUGGGCGCAAGCCUGAUCCAGCAAUGCCGCGUGAGUGAUGAAGGCCUUAGGGUUGUAAAGCUCUUUUACCCGGGAUGAUAAUGACAGUACCGGGAGAAUAAGCCCCGGCUAACUCCGUG
rnacentral:rRNA from 1 species